CCUGCUUUGACCCUGUUUGCAAACUCUUGUUUCAUCAUUUAAGCGAUUAAAUCUCUCGAGUAGACGCUGUCUCUUUAGAUGCAAGGGCAAAAUAGCACUUUAUGGACUUACACAGAGGACAUCAUGUUUAAUACGGUUCCGGAAAAAUCCAGUCAGAAGUUGUUCACGGAGUUUUCACAAUAACUGCUUCUCAUGAACCGAAGCUGCGCGACGUCUCCUCCUGAAAGUUGGAUUACCGUGCACUUCUGGAUCACAGGCUAUUCGCAGCUGGACACAUCCUUCUACACUGUAUGCAAACAUGCAACAUCAUUACACACAGUACAAGGAGUCAGACUGGCAUAUGAGGAGCAAAGGAACCCAGGCAGUAGCAUCGUUUCACAAUGUUUCAAUCACCAUCAUCAGUGGAUGCCUUUGCCGUCCGUAGCCUGAGAUUUCAGAUUUGCAGCAAAAAAUGUGACUUUCCCAUUUAUUGGAAUGCUGUGCAGGUUAUACCUUACAGCCGUCCAUUACAACGUCACCAAGCCGUAACAAAAGCAGGAGAGGGAAAGUACAAGGCUAUGUUCCCAAAACACACAACUGACAUACUGUAAGCAGUAAUGUUUUAUUUCAAAUACAUUCAUAAUUAAAAACUUACUGUAUGAAGCAGGGAAAUAAAUGAUCAAAACAAAAGAUUUAUUGACUGCAAUAUUUGUACAGUUAUGUGGAUGAUGUGAUCAGGCUUGUGUUUGAUGAGGUUUUGAAGAUAAGCUGAAGGAAACCCCGAUUCCAAUGGACCUGGCAUCACAGUUUGAGAGACCUUCAAAGGAGGACGUGAUUGCAUGCCAUCUUCAGUGCAGGGGUCGUCGGAAGCCAACAUUCCGAUCAGGAAGCUCCAAGCAUAUCUGGAGAACAACACACGACAGGAUGAUAACCCUAAAGUGUCGUCUUAAAUAGCACCAGCUGACAAAGCUUUGAUAUGCCAUUUAUCUGAAUAGAUAGCUGUAAGAAGUGAAUUGAACAAUUUUUGAGAGAAGAGCACAAUAUGGUUACUAAAGUAUGUUUAUUUGUAUAUUGUUUAACAUUUAAAUAUAUAUUUGUAAUAAAUAAAAAAAACUUUUGACUGACUACUA